GAAUCACCAAAGUAAACAGGAAGACUAAGUAUUAGAGAACAAAAGUUCAAGAUAUACAAGUUUAAGUCAAUUGAUGGAAAUGGACAGGGCACCUCGCCAGAACAAAAUGACAAUAGAUGGACAAAAGUAGCCACAGCAGAAUAGACUCCAAUAGCAAGUACACUAGGUCAUGGAAGAACCAAAAACAGAUAGAACCAGAUAUGACGAUAAUAAUAAUAAAAAAAAUUAACAAAGGCAAUUUACUGUAACGCCCUCUUACAUAAAAGAGAAUUAUUUCGUGGCACUGGUAAAGUUUCGAUCGUAAUUUCGAUAAUCGAACAUUAUAAUCCCUUAUAAAUAAAAAAAACCCCAAACCAAAAUUGCUAUUUGCUGUUGCGACUCUCAUCAAACAGAGUCAAAAUGAAGAUUUCACUUUUAUUUGUACUCGGCGUAUUGCCGUGUGUCUUGAGCCAGAAUUCCAUGACACCGGAGUGUGAAAGGUUCCACGAACUAAGGGUGUACUUAUCCGGCAUUGACCAUCGCGUUACAGUAGAAAUGGUGGCAGCCGAAGCUCGUGAAGCGGUUGUAGACGAAAACGAGGUUGAGGGUUAGUAUGGGCGUUUUAGUUGUUUUGUAGAAGUAGGAGUUUCACCAGGAUUUCCC